GAUGAACGCUGGCUACAGGCUUAACACAUGCAAGUCGAGGGGAAACGGCAUUGAGUGCUUGCACUGAAUGGACGUCGACCGGCGCACGGGUGAGUAACGCGUAUCCAACCUUCCCGUUACUGCGGGAUAACCUGCCGAAAGGCAGACUAAUACCGCAUGUUCUUCGAUGACGGCAUCAGAUUCGAAGCAAAGAUCCGUCGGUAACGGAGGGGGAUGCGUCUGAUUAGCUAGUUGGCGGGGCGACGGCCCACCAAGGCGACGAUCAGUAGGGGUUCUGAGAGGAAGGUCCCCCACAUUGGAACUGAGACACGGUCCAAACUCCUACGGGAGGCAGCAGUGAGGAAUAUUGGUCAAUGGGCGGAAGCCUGAACCAGCCAAGUAGCGUGCAGGAUGACGGCCCUACGGGUUGUAAACUGCUUUUAUGCGGGGAUAAAGUGAGGGACGCGUCCCUUUUUGCAGGUA
rnacentral:rRNA from 1 species